UAGUAGUGACGGUAGUAAACGCAAAGGAAUAUUCCAAGACUAGUAUGUAAAAGAAAGAAAGGUGCCAGAAUAAUAAAACAGAAAAUUGUGCUGAUUCAUUUACUCCAAGCUAAAUGCCAUAAAUGUGGGAUCCCAGAAAAAAUUCAGCCCCACAAUUGGACUGGAGGCAGUUGUAGAGGAAAAUUUCAGCCCCACAACUUUUUCACUCUACGUUCAAGCAAAGUUCCCUUACUAACUCCUUUGCACUUAAGUGCUUCCAGAUGCUAUCAAGGCUGAGAAUCAAUAGGUCUCCUGAAGCAUGAAAUAUCUGCCUCGAAGUCAAUUGGAAGUGAGAGGAGAGGCCCAACAAGGCUCAUAUAUCACCUUGGGUAAUACUUUCACACGAUUAUACCAGUUGUGGGCCAGGCUCUAACAAGGUCCAAGAGUACUGUGGCAUUUCUUCUUGUGCCAAAGAUGGACUGGGUACCGAUCAAAAAAAGAAGAAGAGAGAUCCAGAAACAAAAAAUGGUCAUCCUGGGGAUUAUAGCAAGGCUGAAAGAAAUGCUUUGGUGCAAUUUUUAACUCCGACUUAGAUUUGGGUGCUCCAGAUAGAGGCAAAUGUCACAAUUUUUAUCUAGAAAACCAUGAUAUUUGAAAAGUCUGAGGUCAAAGAAAGUUUCAGCCUCCCUCCGCUCAUUCAGUCAUUCUUGAAGAUUACAUGAUUGCAAUGUCCAACAUACACAAAGUUCUAUAUGACAACAUUUACUGCAGUAAUAACCUAUGAUGACAAAAGAAAUACAUACGUCGUGCCCUUGCAUAGAAAUAAAUGCAAAAUGCAAGUACCUUUAGUAUCUCCUCCUCUGCGGAUGUCCAUGAGACUUUCUUUCGCCUCAACUGAGGAAUUGCUGGGUAGGUGCUACAAAUGUUUUAUCACUCGUCAAUCAUGAUUUCAGUUCCAAACAGAAUAUCAGAUUAUUCAAAAGACCAACUGCAUACAUGAGGAUGGAACAGAACAAGCUGUUGCAGAACAUGCUAAACUUCUACCAGAAAAGUUAAUUUAAAAAAAAAAAAAAAUCAAUCAUUUAACAGCAAAUUGUCAAUUAAGAAGAAAAGGAAGACGACUUAAGUGUUUGGUUGAUCAAUGGAGAAAACAGUCAGCUUAACAACCAUAACAGUACCCAUGUAAUCCCCAAUUGAUGGGGGGUAUGGGCAAGGAGGACCGGAGAUAGACCUAACCUUUGGCAAUAUAUGCACAAAGUGACUGGCUCAAAAACUUUAACCCUAAAAUAGCAACCCCCCUAUAUCUCCAAAAAUCGAGAAGUCAAGAAAUAUUAUAUUUUGUUUAGCUUUGGGAUUUAAUUUAUAUUUUGCUUUGCAUGUUGUCCGUUUUGGUAGCUCCCAUUGUUAAGAGUUUGCCUAUAAAUAGGCUCAUUGUAUUGAAAUAAUCAGGUUUUGAUGAAUGGAGAAUUUUAUAUCAUCUCGGGUGGACACCUAUACUCCCUUUAGGUGCGGAUUCCAAGAAUUAUGGCCCUCAGGUGCAGAUGCCUGGGUUUCUUUCUUUUUCUUCACUCUAUUUUUUCUACUUAAUUUAAUUGUUCUGCAUCAGCAUAGAUAUACAGGUACAAAACGCUCCUUUCAUCAAUCAAUACUAGAAAACUUACUACUGCUUUUCUUGCUUGUCACGGCGUCGGCGUUCUAUGCGGUAAUUAGAAGUGGCCUUAUCAUUUUCUUCUUCAGAACUUUCCCCUACAUCGACUUUUGAUAGACGAGCAGCACGUCGGUUUGGAUUAGCAAUAGGUUGUUGUAAAACUUCCUUUUGCAUUUCAUCUUCACCAUGGCCCUUGGUCUCAUGGCCACUCUCUCUAUCUCUGCAAGUUGAAUUAUCAUCGCCACGAUCGCAACCACUCCCUUCUUCAAUCUGUUGUUCCUCUAACGCACUUCCAGAUUGGCACUGUGGGCCCAAUUUCCCUCCCUCUCUCUCUCCGUCUGGUAAAGCACCUAGUGUUCCAUCAUCUGCUAUGGUCACACCUUCUUCUUGACAAGGUAGACCAUCAUUAACCUUUGACACCGAAGGUUCCAUUUGUUUCUUAUCAUCUAUAUCUCCCCUAUGUUGAGUACUAUUGACUUUGUUUACAUGGUUUUCAUUACAGUUAGCUUGAGUGUUUCCAUUCGCAUUCUCAUCUAGAAUGAACUGAUUUUGCUCGGGCACCAGAAAUCUCUUAGUAUGUUUAUCCACCCGAUGUCCAUUCUCCAAUCCAAUAAAAACUGCAAGCUCGUUCCUCGCUAAGGCAGCCUUUUUCUUGAUUUCAAGGUACUCCGAAAUUGCAUGAGAAUAUGCACAGAAAGGGCAGUAAAACUUCCCACUGUUAUCAAAACUGGGUGCAGAGCCCAAGCAGCUCUGAUGAACCACUAACGGACAAGCGCUUCCACUGCAAACCAACAGCUGACCACCUUUAUUACACUUCAUACAAAGAUUAAGCUCUGUACAGUCAGCUGUUGCCAAAGAGUCCUGACUGAUUGAGCAUUGAGAGCUCAAGAACUUACGUUUUUCCAGGGCAACAUCAAUCUUCUCGUCCUGAUAGCCAUCGCUAUCGCUGGACAUUUCUCGUCUAGGAUUAUGCUCCCUCUCAUCUCUGGCAUCAUCAGGAAUAUCUUUUAGGUGGGUUCCAUCUAAGAGCGGCACACAGUUAGAUGUAUUGAUUUGGGUAUUUCCACACUUAUCUCUGCAUUCAUC